UUUCCGUAGGUGAACCUGCGGAAGGAUCAUUAACACGUAUCCACGUAUCAACCCCUCUGUGAAAACGCAAAAGCAGCAAGGUCUGGUCUUAGUGCGUCUGUCCGCUAUGGGUCCUAAUAAUGGGUGACUCUCGGGUCACAGGGCUCGGACGGCGUGUGUUUGACGAUCAACCGACACUUUACCAUUGUUGGCCUUUACCCAUUCUUAACCCCUUUGUACUCUUUUGUACUGAACCAUUCUUCGAUGCUCUCCCUCAAAAGAGAGUGACGAAUGAUAUUACGAAACUUAAGAACAACUCUUAGCAACGGAUAUCUUGGUUCCC
rnacentral:misc_RNA from 1 species